CACCGCGGUUAUACGAGAGGCCCAAGUUGAUAAACAUCGGCGUAAAGCGUGGUUAGGGUGAAUUAUUAAACACUAAAGCCGAACGCCCUCCGAGCUGUUAAACGCCUGCCGAGGGUAAGAAGCCCCACCACGAAAGUGGCUUUACUCCACCUGAUUCCACGAGGGCCAAGAUA
rnacentral:rRNA from 1 species